rnacentral:lncRNA from 1 species
UGUUCUUUUAAAGAUUGCUGUGUGGUGGUUUCUUCGAUACCUUCACAUAAUUAUGUUGACACCUGGGCUGUGACAAGAAAAACGAGUUACCCCUGCCCCGCCCCGUCCUGCCCGACUCUCCUCCUCCGAUCAGCAGAGCUGUUCUGCUGGCUUUCUCUCUCUCUCACUCUCUCACUCUCUCGCACGCUCUCUUGUGGAAUGGACUUGCUUAUUGAUUAACACACCCUGUCUGAAGCUUUGCAGGACUGUACAGGGAGAAGCUGUGACAGUGUAGGGAAUUUGCGGAGUUUGAUCUCACAGAGUCAUCUCAGAGUGACAGACCUGCAGAGAGAGACUGAACAGGAGAUUAUACGUGUGAGACAACAGCUGAGAUCAGUACGGCUACAGCAGAAAAUCCUGACCUGUGAACUACCAAGUCAAGAUAUUCUGCAGACUGAGGCUGAACACUUACCACAAAGAGCCGUAAACACAGAGACCUGUAACGUAAGUAGCCUAGACUCACAGUGACCAAUUACAACCAGUGUUAGUGUACACCCACUGGCCACU